rnacentral:rRNA from 1 species
CAUUACUGAGUUACCGCUCUACAACCCUUUGUGAACAUACCUAACUGUUGCUUCGGCGGGCAGGAGGUCCCCCCGGGGACCCCCUCCCGGCCCCGCCCUCGCAGGCGGAGCGCCCGCCGGAGGUCACCAAACUCUUAUUUUUUUUAGCGACGUUUCUUCUGAGUGGCACAAGCAAAUAAUUAAAACUUUCAACAACGGAUCUCUUGGUUCUGGCAUCGAUGAAGAACGCAGCGAAAUGCGAUAAGUAAUGUGAAUUGCAGAAUUCAGUGAAUCAUCGAAUCUUUGAACGCACAUUGCGCCCGCCAGCAUUCUGGCGGGCAUGCCUGUUCGAGCGUCAUUUCAACCCUCAAGCUCUGCUUGGUUUUGGGGCCCUACGGUCGACGUAGGCCCUUAAAGGUAGUGGCGGACCCUCCCGGAGCCUCCUUUGCGUAGUAACUAACGUCUCGCACUGGGAUCCGGAGGGACUUCUUGCCGUAAAACCCCCCCAUUUUCUAAAGGUUGACCUCGGAUCAGGUAGGAAUACCCGCUGAACUUAAGCAUAUCA